CCUACGGGUGGCAGCAGUAGGGAAUAUUGCUCAAUGGGGGAAACCCUGAAGCAGCAACGCCGCGUGGAGGAUGAAGGUUUUCGGAUCGUAAACUCCUGUUGUUAGAGAAGAUAAUGACGGUAUCUAACGAAUAAGCACCGGCUAACUCCGUGCCAGCAGCCGCGGUAAUACGGAGGGUGCUAGCGUUACUCGGAAUCACUGGGCGUAAAGAGCGCGUAGGCGGGUUAUCAAGUCAGAUGUGAAAGCCUAAGGCUUAACCAUAGGAAUGCAUUUGAAACUGUUAUUCUAGAGUAUGGGAGAGGUAGGUGGAAUUCUUGGUGUAGGGGUAAAAUCCGUAGAGAUCAAGAGGAAUACUCAUUGCGAAGGCGACCUGCUAGACCAUAACUGACGCUGAUGCACGAAAGCGUGGGGAGCAAACAGGAUUAGAUACCCUUGUAGUC
rnacentral:rRNA from 1 species